UUCGCCCUUUUCCGGUUGAUCCUGCCGGACCUGACUGCUUUCGGAUUGAUACUAAGCCAUGCGAGUCAUUGUAGCAAUACAAGGCAGACGGCUCAGUAACGCGUAGUCAACCUAACCUAUGGACGGGAAUAACCUCGGGAAACUGAGAAUAAUGCCCGAUAGAACACUAUACCUGGAAUGGUUUGUGUUCCAAAUGAUUUAUCGCCGUAGGAUGGGACUGCGGCCUAUCAGUUUGUUGGUGAGGUAAUGGCCCACCAAGACUAUUACAGGUACGGGCUCUGAGAGGAGUAGCCCGGAGAUGGGUACUGAGACACGGACCCAGGCCCUAUGGGGCGCAGCAGGCGAGAAAACUUUGCAAUGUGCGAAAGCACGACAAGGUUAAUCCGAGUGGUUUCUGCUAAAGGAACCUUUUGUUAGUCCUAGAAACAC
rnacentral:rRNA from 1 species